UACGUAGGGUGCAAGCGUUAAUCGGAAUUACUGGGCGUAAAGCGUGCGCAGGCGGUUGUGCAAGACCGAUGUGAAAUCCCCGGGCUUAACCUGGGAAUGGCAUUGGUGACUGCACGGCUAGGAGUGUGUCAGAGGGGGUAGAAUUCCACGUGUAGCAGUGAAAUGCGUAGAGAUGUGGACGGAAUGACCGAUGGCGAAGGCA
rnacentral:rRNA from 1 species